rnacentral:rRNA from 1 species
GAUGAACGCUAGCGGCAGGCUUAACACAUGCAAGUCGAGGGGUAUUGGUUUUCGGACCAAGAGACCGGCGCACGGGUGCGUAACGCGUAUGCAAUCUACCUUUUGCAGAGGGAUAGCCCCAGAGAAAUUUGGAUUAAUACCUCAUAGUAUAGUACUUUGGCAUCAAGGAACUAUUAAAGUCACAACGGCAAAGAUGAGCAUGCGUCCCAUUAGCUAGUUGGUAAGGUAACGGCUUACCAAGGCUACGAUGGGUAGGGGUCCUGAGAGGGAGAUCCCCCACACUGGUACUGAGACACGGACCAGACUCCUACGGGAGGCAGCAGUGGGGGAAUAUUGGACAAUGGGCGAAAGCCUGAUCCAGCAAUGCCGCGUGAGUGAUGAAGGCC